GACGAACGCUGGCGGCGUGCUUAACACAUGCAAGUCGAACGGAAAGGCCCUUCUCUUGUGCGGUGCUCGCCUGGCGAACGGGUGAGUAACACGUGAGUAUCCUGACCUUCACUUUGGGCUAACCUCAGGAACCUGGGGCUAAUACCAGAUAGGACCUCAUACAGCCUGGGGGGCGUUGGAGAGUGUGGGUGGAUGAGGAUGAACUCGCGGCUUAUGCGCUUGUUGGUGGGGGAGGGGCGUACCAGGGCUUUGACGGGUAUGCGGCCUGGGAGGGUGACCGGCCACAUUGGUCCUGCGAUACGGCCCAGACUCCUACGGGAGGCAGCAGUGGGAAAUAGUGCACAAUGAGCGGAAGUCAGAUGCAGCAACGCCGCGUGCGGGAUGCUGGCCUACGGAUUGUAAACCACUUUAUGCUAUGACGAAGCGUGAGUGACGGUAAUGAGUAAAGAAGCAACGGCUAACUACGUG
rnacentral:rRNA from 1 species